rnacentral:rRNA from 1 species
AAAUUGAAGAGUUUGAUCAUGGCUCAGAUUGAACGCUGGCGGCAGGCCUAACACAUGCAAGUCGAACGGUAACAGGAAGCAGCUUGCUGCUUUGCUGACGAGUGGCGGACGGGUGAGUAAUGUCUGGGAAACUGCCUGAUGGAGGGGGAUAACUACUGGAAACGGUGGCUAAUACCGCUAAUACC